GACGAACGCUGGCGGCGCGCCUAACACAUGCAAGUCGAACGGAGCUGAGAGAAGCUUGCUUUUCUUAGCUUAGUGGCGAACGGGUGAGUAACGCGUGAGUAACCUGCCCUGUAGUGGGGGACAACAGUUGGAAACGACUGCUAAUACCGCAUAAGCCCACGAUCCGGCAUCGGAUUGAGGGAAAAGGAUUUAUUCGCUUCAGGAUGGACUCGCGUCCAAUUAGCUAGUUGGUGGGGUAACGGCCCACCAAGGCGACGAUUGGUAGCCGGACUGAGAGGUUGAGCGGCCACAGUGGGACUGAGACACGGCCCAGACUCCUACGGGAGGCAGCAGUGGGGGAUAUUGCACAAUGGGGGAAACCCUGAUGCAGCGACGCCGCGUGGAGGAAGAAGGUUUUCGGAUUGUAAACACCUGUCGUUAGGGACGAUAAUGACGGUACCUAACAAGAAAGCACCGGCUAACUACGUG
rnacentral:rRNA from 1 species